rnacentral:rRNA from 1 species
UAGGGAAUCUUCGGCAAUGGACGGAAGUCUGACCGAGCAACGCCGCGUGAGUGAAGAAGGUUUUCGGAUCGUAAAGCUCUGUUGUAAGAGAAGAACGAGUGUGAGAGUGGAAAGUUCACACUGUGACGGUAGCUUACCAGAAAGGGACGGCUAACUACGUGCCAGCAGCCGCGGUAAUACGUAGGUCCCGAGCGUUGUCCGGAUUUAUUGGGCGUAAAGCGAGCGCAGGCGGUUUGAUAAGUCUGAAGUUAAAGGCUGUGGCUCAACCAUAGUUCGCUUUGGAAACUGUCAAACUUGAGUGCAGAAGGGGAGAGUGGAAUUCCAUGUGUAGCGGUGAAAUGCGUAGAUAUAUGGAGGAACACCGGUGGCGAAAGCGGCUCUCUGGUCUGUAACUGACGCUGAGGCUCGAAAGCGUGGGGAGCGAACAGGAUUAGAUACCCUGGUAGUCCACGCCGUNNCGAUGAGUGCUAGGUGUUGGAUCCUUUCCGGGAUUCAGUGCCGCAGCUAACGCAUUAAGCACUCCGCCUGGGGAGUACGACCGCAAGGUU